UUUAUUUUUAGAGAUAAAACUCCAAAUAUCUUUAGCCAAUGACAGAUUCACAAGUCCUAUUUUCGUACAAACCUUGAAUAGUUCUUUAGCUCUUCUUCUUUCUCCCUCUCAGUAGCAGAUUUGGCCAACAUAAGAUUCCAAGAGACUUCUGUAAUUUGUACAGAGUAAGUUCAAAGAUAGAUUUUGAAUUAAAAAUGACUAAUUUGAUUCUUGAAAACCUCUCAAACUUGAGCCAAGCACCCUAAUUUAUAUCCAUAAAUACCAACAUUUUGCCUUUGAGUUUCGGAUGUUUUUUUGGGAUCGCUAUAACAGCCUUGGUAUUUAUUUUUUUAGAAAAAGAAGCUUUUCUCUCUCUCUCUUCCACCCCCCCCCCCCGUCCCCAUAGUUCAAAUAUUUUCAACUUGGAAUUUAAUCUUGUGGUUGUAAGGUACGUAUGUUUGCUUCAUACUUAGCUGCUUUGAGUUUUGUUCGGAAAUCGUCAUGUAUAUUGUCCGAUGCUUGCAGUUUAAUUUGUAUCCCGAAAUUAAUUUAGUGGCUUGACUUAAUUUGGCACUAUUCUUGACUUAUUCAAUAUCAAUUAAAGUUGAAUUGUCUUACUAAUCUCUUUACCCUCUCUUUACUUGCAUAAAAAUUGGAUCAAAAAUUGAAUCCGAAUUGAGGACUCUCGCCAAAAUAAAGUCUCAUGGACUCGCUACCAUCAUACCCGCAUACGGAGUCUAUGUCUUUGACUAUCCGGAAUAGCAAGCAAAAUAAAAGCAGGUAAGAUCAACCUCCAACGAUUCGUUGACAGUUGAAUAUUUCAGAGUCAUUUGUGGUGUCAAUGCCAUCUCUUUCCCUUCACAUGGUUCAUUCAUUUAAACGGCUGGUGCUUAUGUAUUGGUUUGCAAAAAUUGAUUCCAUGUCGGGGAAUUUACUACACAAGUUUAAAGCUUCCACUAAAGCAAUACCACCCUGUGAGUGUCACUAUGUUGCUUGGACUCUCCAAAAAGUUGAUACAACCUGUGUAGGAUCCUCCAAAGAUGCACUAUACUUCCGCUUCCAGGUUUGAGAAUACAGGUGACUUUGGUAAGGCCUAGAGGUUUCGAGUUGAUAAUUUCCAGUGAGUCCCGCACUUGUUCGCGUGGAUAACAAGUUUAUUAGUUGUUAUAGACAUUUGUCGGAAUUCUUAGAGUCGCUCCAUAGUCAUCCCUUUAUUAGAAGUUAUGGGUAUUAAUUCGUAAUGUAAACUUAUGUCUAGUAUGAGACUUCUUAUGUUUUUGAAGUUGGAAUUAGUAUAUUAAAUUUUCGAAUUGUCUAUUGAUUAAUAAGGUGGAUUAUUGAUGAAACUUGUUGGUUGCGUUA